rnacentral:rRNA from 1 species
GGACGAACGCUGGCGGCGUGCUUAAUGAAUGCGAGUCGAACGAGAACCGGGGAGCGUCUUCGGACAAUCCUUGGGGACAGUGGCAAACGGGUGAGUAACACGUGGGUAACCUGCCUCUAAGACGGGCAUAACAGGGCGAAAGUCCUGCUAAUUCCCGAUGUUCUGUUGCCACACAAGUGGUGAUAGCAAAGCUUUUGCGCUUAGAGAUGGGCCCGCGGCCGAUUAGCUUGUUGGUGAGGUAACGGCCCACCAAGGCGACGAUCGGUAGCCGACCUGAGAGGGUGACCGGCCACACUGGGACUGAGACAUGGUCCAGACUCCUACGGGAGUUAGCAUCAGGGAAUCUUGCGCAAUGGGCGAAAGCCUGACGCAGCGACGCCGCGUGGGUGAUGAAGGUCUGCGGACCGUAAAGCCCUGUCAGGAGGGAAGAAGCACUGACAGUACCUCCAGAGGAAGCCCCGGCUAACUACGUGCCAGCAGCCGCGGUAACACGUAGGGGGCUAGCGUUGUCCGGAAUUACUGGGCGUAAAGCGCGCGUAGGCGGUUAGGCAAGCAGUGGGUGAAAUGCCGGGGCUCAACUCCGGCGCCGCUUGCUGAACUGUCUGACUAGGGUCCGGGAGAGGGCAGUGGAAUUCCUGGUGUAGCGGUGGAAUGCGUAAAUAUCAGGAAGAACACCCGUGGCGAAGGCUGCUGCCUGGAACGGUACCGACGCUGAGGCGCGAAAGCUAGGGGAGCGAACGGGAUUAGAUACCCCGGUAGUCCUAGCCGUAAACGAUGGACACUAGGUGUUGGGAGCAUCGACCCUCCCAGUGCUGUUCUGCUAACGCGUUAAGUGUCCCGCCUGGGGAGUACGGCCGCAAGGUUGAAACUCAAAGGAAUUGACGGGGGCCCGCACAAGCAGCGGAGCAUGUGGUUUAAUUCGAAGCAACGCGAAGAACCUUACCAGAGCUUGACAUCGUCUGAAUUACCCGUAAUGGGGGAAGUCCUUCGGGACAGACAGACAGGUGGUGCAUGGUUGUCGUCAGCUCGUGUCGUGAGAUGUUGGGUUAAGUCCCGCAACGAGCGCAACCCUUAUUGCUAAUUGCCAUCAUUAAGGUGGGCACUUUAGUGAGACUGCCGGAGACAAUUCGGAGGAAGGUGGGGAUGACGUCAAAUCAUCAUGCCCCUUAUGUUCUGGGCUACACACGUGCUACAAUGGGUGUAACAACGGGAAGCGAGCCGGUGACGGCAAGCCAACCCCUAAAAAGCACCCUCAGUUCGGAUUGCAGGCUGAAACCCGCCUGCAUGAAGUUGGAGUUGCUAGUAAUCGCGAAUCAGCAUGUCGCGGUGAAUACGUUCCCGGGCCU